rnacentral:lncRNA from 1 species
GCCACCGCGCUUAACGCCGGAACAGUGAACACCAUCGAUCCCACCGCAGAAACAAAGAGACCCAGAAAUUAAAAAAACAAAAAAAAAAUCAAAAAAUAGAAGUCUUUCAAUUUUGAGAGAAACAGAGGAGAUGCCUAAUUUCCGGCGAGCCCUAAUUUUUGGAAAAAAAAAAACCAGAGGAGAUAGCACGAAGUGGAAUAGAGGGUUGCAGAGGCGGUGCGGGCGGAGGCGGCUCGAACGGUGGCGUCCGGAGGGCGGAGGCGAAGAGGCGAGAGGCGGAGGCGGUGGCGCGAUAGUUCUCGGCGGAUUUAGGGCUUAGAUCUCGAUUUACAGAGGGGGAAGGGCUUAGAUCUCGGCAGAUUUAGGGCUUAGAUCUCGGUGAAACCCUAGAUCCCUAAAUCUGCCCCUCAAGCUUCGAUUUCCGACGUCCGCACCGCCGUUCCCUAGCUCCCCCUCUCUCCGCGAAUCGCCGCUGCUGUGCUCGAUUUCCGGCGAGGCAGCAGGAGCUUCACCUUCGUCGCUUCCCCUCGGCUAGAGAGAGAGAGCAGAGGGUGGGGAUGAAAUUGGGUGUUGAGAUGGAGAGGGCGACGAGGCCGGUGAAUAGCCGUGA